CUGGUCGUAGUUCAGCGGUAGAACACUCGCUUUGGGAGCGAGGGGCCGCAGGUUCGAUCCCUGCCGACCAGACCA
rnacentral:tRNA from 1 species